rnacentral:rRNA from 1 species
GCUAAGGCUGAUGGCGACCGGCGCACGGGUGAGUAACACGUAUCCAACCUGCCGUCUACUCUUGGCCAGCCUUCUGAAAGGAAGAUUAAUCCAGGAUGGGAUCAUGAGUUCACAUGUCCGCAUGAUUAAAGGUAUUUUCCGGUAGACGAUGGGGAUGCGUUCCAUUAGAUAGUAGGCGGGGUAACGGCCCACCUAGUCAACGAUGGAUAGGGGUUCUGAGAGGAAGGUCCCCCACAUUGGAACUGAGACACGGUCCAAACUCCUACGGGAGGCAGCAGUGAGGAAUAUUGGUCAAUGGGCGAUGGCCUGAACCAGCCAAGUAGCGUGAAGGAUGACUGCCCUAUGGGUUGUAAACUUCUUUUAUAAAGGAAUAAAGUCGGGUAUGCAUACCCGUUUGCAUGUACUUUAUGAAUAAGGAUCGGCUAACUCCGUGCCAGCAGCCGCGGUAAUACGGAGGAUCCGAGCGUUAUCCGGAUUUAUUGGGUUUAAAGGGAGCGUAGAUGGAUGUUUAAGUCAGUUGUGAAAGUUUGCGGCUCAACCGUAAAAUUGCAGUUGAUACUGGAUGUCUUGAGUGCAGUUGAGGCAGGCGGAAUUCGUGGUGUAGCGGUGAAAUGCUUAGAUAUCACGAAGAACUCCGAUUGCGAAGGCAGCCUGCUA